rnacentral:rRNA from 1 species
UACGUAGGGUGCGAGCGUUAAUCGGAAUUACUGGGCGUAAAGCGUGCGCAGGCGGUUCUCCAAGUCCGUUGUGAAAUCCCCGGGCUUAACCUGGGAACUGCGUUUGAAACUACGGAGCUAGAGUGCGGCAGAGGGGGGUGGAAUUCCACGUGUAGCAGUGAAAUGCGUAGAUAUGUGGAGGAACACCGAUGGCGAAGGCAGCCCCCUGGGCCGACACUGACGCUCAGGCACGAAAGCGUGGGGAGCAAACAGG